AUUGAACGCUGGCGGCAGGCUUAACACAUGCAAGUCGAGCGGGGGAGGUUGCUUCGGUAACUGACCUAGCGGCGGACGGGUGAGUAAUGCUUAGGAAUCUGCCUAUUAGUGGGGGACAACAUUCCGAAAGGGAUGCUAAUACCGCAUACGCCCUACGGGGGAAAGCAGGGGAUCUUCGGACCUUGCGCUAAUAGAUGAGCCUAAGUCGGAUUAGCUAGUUGGUGGGGUAAAGGCCUACCAAGGCGACGAUCUGUAGCGGGUCUGAGAGGAUGAUCCGCAACACUGGGACUGAGACACGGCCCAGACUCCUACGGGAGGCAGCAGUGGGGAAUAUUGGACAAUGGGCGGAAGCCUGAUCCAGCCAUGCCGCGUGUGUGAGGAAGGCCUUUUGGUUGUAAAGCACUUUAAGCGAGGAGGAGGCUACUAGUACUAAUACUACUGGAUAGUGGACGUUACUCGCAGAAUAAGCACCGGCUAACUCUGUGCCAGCCGCCGCGGUAAAAC
rnacentral:rRNA from 1 species